AUGGUGUUAGUGGGGAGCGCAGCUAUUUUCUGGGCUCUGUGGAAAUGUAGAAAUGAUAUAAUCUUCAGAUCAAAAAAGAUACAUGAUCCAAUGACUUUCAUCCGGUUGAUGUGUAACUGGAUUGUGGAUUGGUCGAUUUUGCAGGAAAAAAAGCCGGAGGAAAGACUAAUGCAGCUGGGAGCAAAACUAAUCGAGCAGGUGGCAAGUGAGAUCUACAAAGCGACGCAGGGGUGGAGGCUUGGUGUUCGUCGGCUGGAGGCCUGA
rnacentral:rRNA from 1 species